rnacentral:rRNA from 1 species
UACAGAGGUGGCAAGCGUUGUUCGGAAUUACUGGGCGUAAAGGGCGCGUAGGCGGCCAUCUAAGUCAGACGUGAAAUCCCCCGGCUUAACCUGGGAACUGCGUCUGAUACUGGAAGGCUUGAGUAUGGGAGAGGGAUGUAGAAUUCCAGGUGUAGCGGUGAAAUGCGUAGAUAUCUACAGGAACUCCGGUGGCGAAAGCGGCGUGCUGGACCUUUUCUGACGCUGAGGCGCGAAAGCUAGGGGAGCAAACGGG